rnacentral:rRNA from 1 species
GACGAACGCUGGCGGCGUGCUUAACACAUGCAAGUCGAACGGGAAGGCCCUGCUUUUGUGGGGUGCUCGAGUGGCGAACGGGUGAGUAACACGUGAGUAACCUGCCCUUGACUUUGGGAUAACUUCAGGAAACUGGGGCUAAUACCGGAUAGGAGCUCCUGCUGCAUGGUGGGGGUUGGAAAGUUUCGGCGGUUGGGGAUGGACUCGCGGCUUAUCAGCUUGUUGGUGGGGUAGUGGCUUACCAAGGCUUUGACGGGUAGCCGGCCUGAGAGGGUGACCGGCCACAUUGGGACUGAGAUACGGCCCAGACCCCUACGGGAGGCAGCAGUGGGGAAUAUUGCACAAUGGGCGGAAGCCUGAUGCAGCAACGCCGCGUGCGGGAUGACGGCCUUCGGGUUGUAAACCGCUUUCGCCUGUGACGAAGCGUGAGUGACGGUAAUGGGUAAAGAAGCACCGGCUAACUACGUG